UACCUGGUUGAUCCUGCCAGUUAUCAUAUGCUUGUCUCAAAGAUUAAGCCAUGCAUGUGCAAGUAUGAACCAAUUUGAACUGUGAAACUGCGAAUGGCUCAUUAAAUCAGUUAUAGUUUGUUUGAUGGUACGUGCUACUCGG
rnacentral:ncRNA from 1 species